rnacentral:rRNA from 1 species
GCAUAUCAAUAAGCGGAGGAAAAGAAAAUAACAAUGAUUCCCCUAGUAACUGCGAGUGAAGAGGGACAAGCUCAAAUUUUAAAUCUGUUAGGCUUACCUAACCGAGUUGUAAUUUGAAGAGGCGUUUUCUGUGUUUCUGAUCAUCCCAAGUCCUUUGGGAUAGGGCAUCAUGGAGGGUGAGAAUCCCGUUCGGUUGAUCAGAUUCGCUUUACGAUACGUCAUCUAAGAGUCAAGUUGUUUGGGAUUGCAGCUUAAAAUGGGAGGUAAAUUUCUCCUAAGGCUAAAUAACGGCGAGAGACCGAUAGCGAACAAGUACCGUGAGGGAAAGAUGAAAAGAACUUUGAAAAGAGAGUUAAACAGUACGUGAAAUUGUUGAAGGGGAAACGAUUGAAGCCAGUCGUACCUUUGGGUAAUCAGCCUUUUGGGUGUGAUUUUGUGGAGUGUGAAGAGUUGAACGCCUUCAUGCCUGCAUAAUCGUGCACUUUGGGUGUACUUACCCGUGUGGUUGGUUAACAUCAAUUUUGGUGGUCAUAAAAUGACUGGAGGAAUGUAGCUUCGAUCUCGUAUUGAAGUGUUAUAGCCUUCGGUAGAUGUGAUGAUCGAGAUUGAGGAUUGCAACGGAUACCCUUCGGGGCUACCUGUCUGGUCUCUGAUCGUUGCUCUGGUGCCGAAAGCUUGCUUACGGUUAUCAAAGUCGAUGGUCAAUAGGUUAGAACGGGUUAAAUUCGUUAAGGAUGUUGACGUA